AAACCAACAAGAUGGAGUUCACCCGAAACCAUGGUUACUGGCGACCAAUCAACAGAAGGAGAUAGCUGGUCUUUUGGUAUCGUCUUGUGGGAAAUUGUGACAUUAGGUAUUCGGUCAUGUCUGGUUGUUGGGAGAAGGAAGCUACACGUCGGAGUAACUUUGAUCAGAUCCUCAAGAGUUUGGAAAGGAUUCUAGAAAAGACUCAUAAUUACCUGUCUCUCAAUGACUUGGAUGAAGGAUUGUAUGCGUCUACACUUGACAUGUGAAAUUACACCUUGUUCGGAUAUGCAGUCAUACUACAUUACGUCUACAUCUUUUAUUUUGUACAAAGCAGAUCCGAGCCAACUAACUGGGACUACGGGGAUAUUAGAGGGAUAUUAUAGGAAAUACAUUUUGUUAAAUUUAGCCAAGAAUGCUGAAUCAGGCUAUCGAAUAUACUUGUUUGAAUUCUGCAUCAUAACUCUGCUUUUUUAUAAAAAAAAUUUAGGGAUC